GGACUAAUCCCUUAUAAAACAGGGGCACCGCAUGGUGCUAUUUGUUAAAGAUUAAUUGCUGAUAGAUGGGCAUGCGUUCCAUUACGUAGUUGGUGAGGUAACGGCUCACCAAGCCGACGAUGGAUAGGGGAACUGAGAGGUUGGUCCCCCACACUGGUACUGAGACACGGACCAGACUCCUACGGGAGGCAGCAGUGAGGAAUAUUGGUCAAUGGGCGAGAGCCUGAACCAGCCAAGUCGCGUGAAGGAAGAAGGAUCUAUGGUUCGUAAACUUCUUUUGCAGGGGAAUAAAGUGGAGGACGUGUCCUCUUUUGUAUGUACCCUGAGAAUAAGGAUCGGCUAACUCCGUGCCAGCAGCCGCGGUAAUACGGAGGAUCCGAGCGUUAUCCGGAUUUAUUGGGUUUAAAGGGUGCGUAGGUGGUUUAAUAAGUCAGCGGUGAAAGUUUGCAGCUUAACUGUAAAAAUGCCGUUGAAACUGUUAGACUUGAGUGUAAAUGAGGUAGGCGGAAUGCGUGGUGUAGCGGUGAAAUGCUUAGAUAUCACGAAGAACUCCGAUUG
rnacentral:rRNA from 1 species